ensembl:lncRNA
GUGGGGGUGGGUGUCCCGAGGGGCUGUGUGCGGGGGGUGGGCUUGAAGGAGUGUGGAGGCUUUGCUUUCUCUCCCCGCUGCAGGAAUGGGAUGGGACGGUGCGGGUAGGAUGCUGGCACCGCUGGGCUGCCGGCACGCCCGCGUCUGCUCCGCUCCUGCUGUUGCUGCCCUGGAGAGCCAUUUCCCUGUGGCACAACACUUCGGCAGUGCUGUCAACGCUGGCGUGGUUCAUCCUCUAAUAACUCAAAUGCAUCUUGGAUAGAUAUCAGCCUCACGGACAGUAAUGGCACAUAUUCCACUUUGCAUUCAUUUCCCAGUUUCCAGUAAAAUAUAAAAGCAGCCUCGGCAUUUCAAGGCAAUUACAUAGAAGGGUCAGGAGAUAGAGGCCGACACAGAGGAGCUGGACAACGUCACGUCUUCUAAUGCAUUGGCAUAACGUGAUAAGGCUCUCCAUCACACCACGGUUAGUGAGGCAGGGACCAAGCAGCCAUAAUCAAGUUUGGGGCUGCUGGGUAUCUGCAGAGGUGUUUGCAUCGGCUGAGGGAUGCAGGCAGGCUGCAGCUCCCACAGCAUUGGGCUUCUGUGCUUCCUCCUUCUUCGGGUUCCUUUAGCCUAGAAAUACUCCAAACGUUGUCCAAGGUGAGCACAAUUAAAAGUUGGCACCAUAGGCUUUCUGCUGCCUAAACUCGGGUGAGAUGAGAGCACACUGUGCACAUGAGCAGCACCUAUGGCUGCAGCGGCACGAGUGCUCACAGAGCAGGAGAGAGCCUGGGGGAGCAACGACUUCUUUGGGGCCGGCCCUUUUGUCAGCGGGGCAGGCUAUGCUGAUUUAUGGUAACGAAGGGGCAGGGCUGAGCUCCUCACGCUGUUGGAGUCAGCAGAGCAGUGCCAGCAGCUCCACAAGGACAUGACUUCAUCUCGGCAGACGACGUCUGGAGGGAGCAGCGAGCAGGAAGGAGCCGUUUGGUCUCCUGAACUUUCCCCUCUGACUGAAGAUCCUUCUCGGGCUUUUGGUCAUUUCUCCAUCUCACGCAGACAGCGCUCCGAGUGACGGCGCUGAUGCUUCGUCUGUGAUGCAACAUGGGUCGGGAGCCCAGGACAGACGUGGGAGCUGUGGGAAGGGGCAGCAGAGCAGCCGGGAGCCCUGCAUGCAGCUGGCCCUCGAUUUAACAGCAUACAAUGGGGCCUCAGUGCCACGCGUUCCCCGUGAGCUCAGACUUUCCUUGCCUGCAAAGCGCCGUCACUGAGCGGCACUGCCCCAAAAUGCAGCUCCCCCAGCAGCGCUCCCCGUGCUUUGCUGCCCGCAGCCCUGCAUGCUGUGUGUGUUUUCCCAGCAGCCCUGUGCUAAUUUUAGCUGUGCUGAGGCUCUGGGCAGGGAGCAGGCGUCCCGUCCCAGGAGCCCCAGAGCAAAGCAGUUUGCUGUAGUCUGAAAACUUAACCCCGGUUUGCUGGGGAUUGGGGCACGGCUGGAGCUGCCUGGCAGUGCUGGGGGAAAGGGAGGGUUCUGUCCACACCCCGAGCUCAGAGCGGAGCCAUCAGACCUCCCUGCUUGCUAACACCAAGCCUGAGAACAUUAGCAAACUCUUCUCAGGGCCACCAGAGAGCUGAGCAGCGACAAAGGGGAAGGUUGUGCAGAGCCACAUGGCUGCUUUUAACCCAGUAACAUCCUCUUUUGUCGGGCCUACGCCAUUCCUCGUGCUUGGGAGGAACCAAGGCGGCAGCAGGCUGUGUUAAAGCUGACAAAGCCCGUGUACAACAGCAGCUCUGUAUUGCCCAAGCUGAAGUUCAGCGCCGCUGUGCCAAGAGAUGAUGUUGCCAACCGUGGGAGGGAACCAAUCCGAAGCUACGGGAAAAACAUUUUUGAGGAGAAACAUCACCUCCGAAACCGUACAAACAAAUGCGUUUUGACACAGCUAAACAGAGAGCUAUAAAAGGAGAGUUUGGGAGAAACACCACUAAUUGGGUGGUGAUUCAUAUGGUGCCGGUCAGACUGCGUUUUUGUAAUCUCCAUUCCUGGGGGAUGAUUUUCAAAGCGCAGAGGAAUGUGGAAGCAGCCCGGCCAGAUGUGGGCUGGAAGACAGAGAGGAGCAAACAGCGCCGAGAGCACAGGGGCAGCAGCAGCAGCAGAGCUGGGGGCCCCCAUCGAAACAGCAAAAUGAAUGGGAUCGUCCCAAAGCUGGGCACGAGAUGCUUCACCCGCUGCCCCGUGCCGGCUGGGGGCAAUGGGAGCGGGUCUGCUUUGCUCAGGUGUCCCAGUGCUGGAGGUGAGGCUGUGCCCGCGGCAUCUGCUGCAUCUGUGCUGUGUUUUCGCUGGGAAGAGCAGAGCAUAAAAGCCACGGCCAGGCAGCUGCAUGAGGAACGAAUCGCUUUUAAUCUGGUUAGAAAACUUCAGCCCUUGGGGAAAAAACAGCACAGUUUUCUGGAGCUUGGCGGGGAGACCACUGGAUGUCAGGUUUAGAGGAAAUAAAUUAAAUUUGUAUUAGGGUCUGCAAUCACUUCUCUGCUUUGAGAGGCUAUUUCAGAGAGCGGGAGAGCAAUAACCUGCGAGGAGAUGAAAUCCAUAGCAGAGGUGCAGGUCCUCUGUGCACCGAAAUGGCCCCAUUACCAGGAACAUAGCUCCAACAAGAUCAGCUCUUAUUGGCCUCCAAUUUUUGUUUUAUUCUUUUGCAAAAGAUCUGUUUCUCCGGGACGCCAUCUGAGGCGGCAGCAAAACAUUAUGGGCUGCUGCUCUGUGCUGCACACUCCGAG